GUGGUGGUCGCGGGGAAGUGGGAAGAGGCGUCGCCAUGGAGGCCUACAAGCUCUGGGUGAGGAAGAACAGAGAGUUCGUCCAGUUCCUCGAAUCAUUGUCCAGUGGCAUAACGUGGGUUCUCCCGGAGCGCUUCUCCAAUUCAGAGAUCGGUCCUGAAGCAGUGUACGCUUUUUUGGGCAUACUCAGUACCGUGAACCAGCACAUAAUCGAUACAGCCCCGACGAAGACACCGCCUCGUGGAUUGGGAGAGUCGACGUUUCCAUGGUCCUUAUGCCUGUCAAUAAUCAAAGAUUCGGAGACUGUGGUAGAGGUUGCAACCCAGCAGUUUGCUGGUGAAGGGCGCAAGUGGAAUUACCUGGCCGUCACACAGGCGGUGAAGGCAUUCGUGAGGUUAGCUGCUUUUCGUGAUAGCGGAUACAAGAUGCUCUUACGAGGUGGGGAAACAGUGAACGUGGAUGAAAGGCAAGCUGCUCCGGAAGUCUAUAAUGGAGGGAGCGGGGAUGCCAGAGAGCCUGGUGGAUGUAACGGGCCUGGUUGUAUCCAUGAUUAUCAUGGCUCAAUACCUAAGAGUCUAGAAGGAAGAGCCAUUUCUGCAUUGAGCCGGUUUGGUGAGAAUGCAAAAAUGGUGUCGGAUCCAAUGAGGUCAAAAAAGCUUUGCAAGAGUUCAAAGGCCUCUGCUCUUUCAGUUGGGAAGCCCACGCUUUAUAACCUGUGGUUACAGAAGGGGCUUUCCAGUCGGUUAUUUGUGACAGGGGAGGUGCUUUUUGUUCUGAGACCUCUCAUAUAUGUACUAUUUAUAAGAAAAUAUGGUAUUCGAUCUUGGAAACCAUGGUUGAUUUCACUGGCCAUGGACCUAGCUGGAAUGAGCUUUCUUUCAUAUUCUACAACUCGGUGCCCUAGAAGUGAUGAUAAAUAUUAUCAACUCACUACAUCUGAGAAAUAUGAGCUGAAAAGGCGAAAGCUGUUGUGGGCACUUUACAUCAUGAGGGAUCCAUUCUUUACCAAGUAUACAAAGCACCGCCUUGAGAAGACUGAUGGAUACUUAAGCCGAGUUCCUCUAAUUGGGUUCCUCACAGAUAAAUUUGUAGAGCUUGUCGUUGGAGUUCAAACACGUUAUACUUAUAUAUCAGGUUCAUGAGGAGGAAAAUCCUGACAUCCGAGGUCUGUCCUACUGAGAUAAUUUUGAUAGGUUGAUUCGCUUGCUAUUCUGAUUACACCAAUGCACAUGGUGCACUUGGCAUUUGAGAUGCUUAGGCUAACUACAUAUGGUCUUUGGAAAAAUCUCUGUUUCCGGACCACAAAUUUUGUAUGUAGACUAUGGUGGCUAAUAUGCUGAUUAAGUGUGGGUUUAGAAAGUACCUUGACUAAGAAGAAGCUGUUCGGUCCAGAUUACCUUAGAAAGAUGCAUGGCGCAAAUGUCCAUCUGUUGAAAAUUUUCUGUUAUGUUAAUUUUGUUUGGCACAGCAACUGUAACUUUAAUACUAUAGAGACAUUUGUUAUGUGCCCUUCUUUGCCACAUGCAAUAUCACCUAAAAAGGCAAUUUUCA